rnacentral:rRNA from 1 species
AGUGAACGCUGGCGGUAGGCCUAACACAUGCAAGUCGAACGGCAGCACAGGAGAGCUUGCUCUCUGGGUGGCGAGUGGCGGACGGGUGAGGAAUACAUCGGAAUCUACUCUGUCGUGGGGGAUAACGUAGGGAAACUUACGCUAAUACCGCAUACGACCUACGGGUGAAAGCAGGGGACCUUUGGGCCUUGCGCGAUUGAAUGAGCCGAUGUCGGAUUAGCUAGUUGGCGGGGUAAAGGCCCACCAAGGCGACGAUCCGUAGCUGGUCUGAGAGGAUGAUCAGCAACACUGGAACUGAGACACGGUCCAGACUCCUACGGGAGGCAGCAGUGGGGAAUAUUGGACAAUGGGCGCAAGCCUGAUCCAGCCAUACCGCGUGGGUGAAGAAGGCCUUCGGGUUGUAAAGCCCUUUUGUUGGGAAAGAAAUCCAGCUGGCUAAUACCCGGUUGGGAUGACGGUACCCAAAGAAUAAGCACCGGCUAACUUCGUGCCAGCAGCCGCCGUAA